GAUGAACGCUGGCGGCGUGCCUAAUACAUGCAAGUCGUGCGAACAGAUGAGGAGCUUGCUCCUCUGACGUUAGCGGCGGACGGGUGAGUAACACGUGGAUAACCUACCUAUAAGACUGGGAUAACUUCGGGAAACCGGAGCUAAUACCGGAUAAUAUAUUGAACCGCAUGGUUCAAUAGUGAAAGACGGUUUUGCUGUCACUUAUAGAUGGAUCCGCGCCGCAUUAGCUAGUUGGUAAGGUAACGGCUUACCAAGGCAACGAUGCGUAGCCGACCUGAGAGGGUGAUCGGCCACACAGGAACUGAAACACGGUCCAGACUCCUACGGGAGGCAGCAGUAGGGAAUCUUCCGCAAUGGGCGAAAGCCUGACGGAGCAACGCCGCGUGAGUGAUGAAGGUCUUCGGAUCGUAAAACUCUGUUAUUAGGGAAGAACAAAUGUGUAAGUAACUAUGCACGUCUUGACGGUACCUAAUCAGAAAGCCACGGCUAACUACGUG
rnacentral:rRNA from 1 species